UACGUAGGGUGCGAGCGUUAAUCGGAAUUACUGGGCGUAAAGCGUGCGCAGGCGGUUCGUUGUGUCGGCGGUGAAAGCCCCGGGCUCAACCUGGGAAUGGCCGUUGAAACUGGCGAACUGGAGUGUGGCAGAGGGGGGGUGGAAUUCCGCGUGUAGCAGUGAAAUGCGUAGAUAUCAGGAGGAACACCGGUGGCGAAGGCGGGUCUCUGGGCCGAUACUGACGCUGAGGAGCGAAAGCGUGGGGAGCAAACAGG
rnacentral:rRNA from 1 species